UACGUAGGGGGCAAGCGUUGUCCGGAAUCAUUGGGCGUAAAGAGCGUGUAGGCGGCCAGAAAAGUCCGCUGUGAAAACUCGAGGCUCAACUUCGAGCUGUCGGUGGAAACUUUCUGGCUAGAGUCCGGAAGAGGAGAAUGGAAUUCCUGGUGUAGCGGUGAAAUGCGCAGAUAUCAGGAAGAACACCCGUGGCGAAGGCAGGUCUCUGGGCCACUACUGACGCUGAGAAGCGAAAGCAUGGGGAGCGAACAGG
rnacentral:rRNA from 1 species